UACGGAGGGUGCAAGCGUUAUCCGGAUUCACUGGGUUUAAAGGGCGCGUAGGCGGGAUGGCAAGUCGGUCGUGAAAUCCCUCGGCUCAACUGAGGAGCGUCGAUCGAAACUGCCGUUCUUGAGGGUUGCAGAGGAGACUGGAAUUCCCGGUGUAGCGGUGAAAUGUGUAGAGAUCGGGAGGAACACCGGUGGCGAAGGCGGGUCUCUGGGCAACUCCUGACGCUGAGGCGCGAAAGCGUGGGGAGCAAACGGG
rnacentral:rRNA from 1 species